rnacentral:rRNA from 1 species
GGCGCUUAACACAUGCAAGUCGAGCGAGAACCAAGCCUUCGGGCUUGGGGACAGCGGCGAACGGGUGAGUAACACGUGGGUAAUCAACCCUCGACACUGGGAUAGCCCAGGGAAACCCGGAUUAAUACCGGAUACCCCAUCUGGCCUUCGGGCCGGCUGGAAAAGGUAGCUUUGGCCCCCGGUCGAGGACGAGCCCGCGGCGGAUUAGCUUGUUGGCGGGGUAAAAGCCCACCAAGGCGACGAUCCGUAGCUGGUCUGAGAGGACGAUCAGCCACACUGGGACUGAGACACGGCCCAGACUCCUACGGGAGGCAGCAGUGGGGAAUCUUGCGCAAUGGGCGAAAGCCUGACGCAGCGACGCCGCGUGAGGGAAGAAGGCCUUCGGGUUGUAAACCUCUUUCAGGAGGGACGAAGCCACUCGGGUUAAUAGCCCAGA